rnacentral:rRNA from 1 species
UACGUAGGGUGCGAGCGUUAAUCGGAAUUACUGGGCGUAAAGCGUGCGCAGGCGGUUUUGUAAGUCUGUCGUGAAAGCCCCGGGCUCAACCUGGGAAUGGCGAUGGAGACUGCAAGGCUUGAAUCUGGCAGAGGGGGGUAGAAUUCCACGUGUAGCAGUGAAAUGCGUAGAGAUGAUGGAGGAACACCGAUGGCGAAGGCAGCCCCCUGGGUCAAGAUUGACGCUCAUGCACGAAAGCGUGGGGAGCAAACAGG